GUCCGUCCAUCCAUCCCAAUGGUGUCCGUCUGUCCAUCCAUCCCAAUGACGUCCGUCCAUCUCAAUGGUGUCCGUCUGUCCGUCCAUUGCAGUGCUGUCCGUCCAUCCAUCCCAAUGACAUCCAUCCAUCCCAAUGGUUGCUGUCUGUCUGUCCACUGCAGUGCUGUCCGUCCGUCCCAAUGGUGUCCGUCCGUCCGUCCAUCCCAAUGACGUCCAUCCAUCCCAAUGAUGUCCGUCUGUCCGUCCAUUGCAGUGCUGUCCGUCCAUCCAUCCCAUUGCGGUGUCCAUCUGUCCGUCCAUCCCAAUGGUGUCCGUCCGUCCGUCCAUCCAUCACAGUGCCGUCCAUCCGUCCCAUUGCGGUGUCCGUCUGUCCGUCCAUCCAUCCCAAUGGUGUCCGUCUGUCCGUCCAUCACAGUGCUGUCCGUCCAUCCCAAUGGUGUCCGUCUGUCCGUCCAUCCCAAUGACAUCCAUCCAUCCCAAUGGUGUCCGUCUGUCCGUCCGUCCAUUGCAGUGCUGUCCGUCCAUCCAUCCCAAUGAUGUCCGUCUGUCCGUCUGUCCCAAUGGUGUCCAUCCGUCCGUCCAUCCCAAUGACGUCCAUUCAUCCCAAUGAUGUCCGUCUGUCCGUCCAUCACAGUGCUGUCUGUCCAUCCCAAUGCUGUCCGUCUGUCCGUCCAUCCAUUGCAGUGCUUGCUGUCCGUCCAUCCCAAUGGUGUCCGUCCGUCCGUCCAUCCCAAUGACGUCCAUUCAUCCCAAUGAUGUCUGUCCGUCCAUCCAUUGCAGUGCCGUCCAUCCAUCCAUCCCAAUGGUGUCCGUCUGUCUGUCCGUCACAGUGCUGUCCGUCCAUCCCAAUGCUGUCCGUCUGCCCAUCCAUCCCAGUGAUGUCCGUCCGUCCGUCCAUUGCAGUGCUGUCCGUCCGUCCAUCCCAAUGGUGUCCGUCUGUCCGUCCGUCCAUCCCAUCCCAUCCCCCCACCUCUCCAAUGCUGGAAGAGGCGAUGCGGAGGAGGAAGAAGAGGGUUUGGGGGGGGGGGGGGGGG
ensembl:lncRNA